GGAUGCGAUCAUACCAGUGUUAGUGAAUCGGAUCCCAUCAGAACUCUGCAGUUGAGUGCGCUUGGGCUAGAGUAGUACUGGGAUGGGUGACCUCCCUCGAAGUCUUAGUGGUGAACCCU
rfam:Picea glauca, whole genome shotgun sequence.